rnacentral:rRNA from 1 species
UCAGGAUGAACGCUAGCGGCAGGCUUAACACAUGCAAGUCGAGGGGCAGCGUGGAGUAGCAAUACUCUGACGGCGACCGGCGAAAGGGUGAGUAACGCGUGAGCAACAUGCCCGUAGUUGGGGGAUAGUCGAUGGAAACGUCGCGUAAUACCCCGUAACAACAGAGGCCGCAUGACCUUUGUUUAAGAGAUUUAUUGUCUACGGAUUGGCUCGCGUACCAUUAGCUAGUUGGCGGGGUAACGGCCCACCAAGGCGACGAUGGUUAGGGGUUCUGAGAGGAAGGUCCCCCCACAUUGGAACUGAGACACGGUCCAGACUCCUACGGGAGGCAGCAGUGAGGAAUAUUGGUCAAUGGCCGAGAGGCUGAACCAGCCAUGCCGCGUGCGGGAUGAACCGGCCCUAUGGGUUGUAAACCGCUUUUGUUGGGGAGCAAUAAGGUUCACGUGUGGACUGAUGAGAGUACCCAGCGAAUAAGCAUCGGCUAACUCCGUGCCAGCAGCAGC